rnacentral:rRNA from 1 species
UACGGAGGGUGCAAGCGUUACUCGGAAUCACUGGGCGUAAAGCGCGCGCAGGCGGGUUUGUAAGUUGGAUGUGAAAGCCUACGGCUCAACCGUAGAACUGCAUCCAAAACUACUUACCUAGAGUGUGGGAGGGGAAGAUGGAAUUAGUUGUGUAGGGGUAAAAUCCGUAGAGAUAACUAGGAAUAUCAAAAGCGAAGGCGAUCUUCUGGAACACUACUGACGCUGAGGCGCGAAAGCGUGGGGAGCAAACAGGAUUAGAUACCCUGGUAGUCCACGCCCUAAACGAUGAAUGUUAGUCGUCGGGAUGCAAGUCAUUUCGGUGAUUCAGUUAACACAUUAAACAUUCCGCCUGGGGAGUACGGUCGCAAGAUUAAAACUCAAAGGAAUAGACGGGGACCCGCACAAGUGGUGGAGCAUGUGGUUUAAUUCGAAGAUACGCGAAGAACCUUACCUAGCCUUGACAUUGAUAGAAUCUGGUAGAGAUAUCGGAGUGCCCUUCGGGGAGCUUGAAAACAGGUGCUGCACGGCUGUCGUCAGCUCGUGUCGUGAGAUGUUGGGUUAAGUCCCGCAACGAGCGCAACCCUCGUCCUUAGUUACUAACGGUUCGGCCGAGGACUCUAAGGAGACUGCCUUCGCAAGGAGGAGGAAGGUGAGGACGACGUCAAGUCAUCAUGGCCCUUACGGCUAGGGCGACACACGUGCUACAAUGGAUAGGACAAUGAGACGCAAUACCGCGAGGUGGAGCAAAUCUAUAAACCUAUUCUCAGUUCGGAUUGUAGUCUGCAACUCGACUACAUGAAGCUGGAAUCA